CUACGGGUUGCUGCAGUGGGGAAUAUUGGACAAUGGGGGAAACCCUGAUCCAGCAAUGCCGCGUGUGUGAAGAAGGCCUGCGGGUUGUAAAGCACUUUCGGUUGGGAGGACUGCUUCUAGCACUAAUAUUGUUGGAAGUUGACGUUACCUUCAGAAGAAGCACCGGCUAACUCCGUGCCAGCAGCCGCGGUAAUACGGAGGUGCAAGCGUUAAUCGGAAUUACUGGGCGUAAAGCGCGCGUAGGCGGCUAGAUCAGUCGGGUGUGAAAGCCCCGGGCUUAACCUGGGAACUGUAUCCGAUACUGUCGAGCUUGAGUACAGGAGAGGAGAGUGGAAUUCCACAUGUAGCGGUGAAAUGCGUAGAUAUGUGGAGGAACACCAAUGGCGAAGGCAGCUCUCUGGCCUGAUACUGACGCUGAGGUGCGAAAGCGUGGGGAGCAAACAGGAUUAGAUACCCCCGUAGUC
rnacentral:rRNA from 1 species